rnacentral:lncRNA from 1 species
AUGAUUCGUGACUGUGAAAAUCCUUUACUCCAAACCAAAUGAGACUCCUUCGCCUCCUCUUACAAAAUCCUUACUGUCACACACAUGCCUCAAUUUGCAAAUUUGGGGCCUUCUCCUCAGACUCCUUCUCUCUUCCUGAAUUCCUUAUUGUAAAAAGUGACCCCUUUUGAAAUAACAAGUGUGGGUGUCUGUCCAGAUUGUCCCCUUUGGGGAAAGCGCCCUCCGCAGUCUGGAAUGAUCCCGCCCCAUUCAUUUUGCACAAGUGUAGCCCGUAACCUCCCGUGACCCACCCUAUGAACCCCCGCACCCACCCCUGGCCACAUGUGACCCAAGUCAGGCCAAGAAGAGCCUCCUUCAGACUCUGGCCAGAACUGAGGUGAAAUGUUGCCUCCCGUCCCUGAGUGACGUUCGCCAGCCCGUGAGUGUCUUGCUGCCAUGAGGCGAAUCCCGAUUGAGAAGGAAGUUCAGCAGAGGUGAGCAGAGCCUGGGGGAGCUUGGAGGAGGCCAAGGGCAGUGCCGGGUGUGGCCCGAGCCUGUCACCCUCAGACUUCCUGGUUUUUCUGACACCGAGGUGAGAUGCGGACUGUCAAGUGGCAUAGGGUUGUGACAAACUCAGGUGCUCAAUGGUGCAGAUAAUCCACCCCUGAGAUUAUCAGAAAGCGCCGGGUCCUCCAGGAUGCCAACACCUGGGAAAUCAGCCGCUUGCACCAACAACAUCCUUUAAUAUACCCCAAAUAUCAGCAAAUAUCGUCUGGGAGACGAAACAGUGUGAUGCCCUCAGUCCUCCGGAGGGACCAUCUUUACACCAAAUGGUUUUCUGUGCUGCUGGGCUGCUGGGUCCGACCUGCCUGUGUCUCUGGUUUCACGUCUGCUCUCUGUGGACAAUGACACCAUCCCAGAAGAGAAGAGGGCAGAGAGCCACACGGAGUCGGUGAGAAAGUAAGACACUACGUCCCACGCGGUGCCACCUACUAAUGUAAUAUGAGAGAGGAGAGAAUAAUUGGUUUAGAGAAAAACACAUUUUCCCAAGACUUUUUUAUAUGAACCCAAACUCUCACAUUAGUUAACUAUAAGGACAAUUGGAUCCCAAGACAAGCAAACC